rnacentral:rRNA from 1 species
UAGUAACGGCGAGCGAAACGGGAAAAGCCCAGCACUGAAUCGCGCGCCCACUGGGACGCUGCGAAAUGUAGUGUUUGGGAGGGUCCAUCAGUCCGUGGUUUGGUGAUGAGUUCAAGUCCUUCUUGAACGGGGCCAUUUACCCACAGAGGGUGCCAGGCCCGUAGUGACUAUCGCCGGCUGCGGACGGAUCUCUCCUUAGAGUCGCGUUGCUUGAGAGUGCAGCGCUAAGUGGGUGGUAAACUCCAUCUAAGGCUAAAUAUAACCACGAGACCGAUAGCGAACAAGUACCGUGAGGGAAAGUUGAAAAGAACUUUGAAGAGAGAGUUCAAUAGUACGUGAAACCGUUUAAGGGUAAACCUGAGAAACCCGAAAGUUCGAACGAGGAGAUUCAGUGUGUUUCGGUGUGCGCGAGUGCCGCCUGGUCGACGGCUGUCGCUUGCGGCAGUUGCUCCUUGCGUUGCGCCGUUGCAUGUCGAACGCGUGCAUUUCUCCUCCAGUAGGACGUCGCGACCCGUUGGGUGUCGGUCUUAGGCUUGCAGGGCAGCCCGUGCGUCGGUUUCGGCCGUGCGUGCGGAUCUGUGAUGUCCCGGCCGACUGCUCGACGGUAUGCAAUGAAGGCGCAGAGCCGCGACAAGUUCGCGUUCGGCUCGUUGCAAGCGCAACCGGUUACUCAAUCAUCGGACUCUGUGCCGAUCUUGGGGCCGGCUGACUGUUGGCAACGAUGUUCCCGAACAGACUCUGUACACGCCUGUCAGCGGCGCUAUAGCUUUGGGUAAUUUCAGGGCCCGUCUUGAAACACGGACCAAGGAGUCUAGCAUGUGCGCGAGUCAUUGGGACUAUCGAAUCCUAAAGGCGCAAUGAAAGUAAAUCCAAGCUUGCUUGGAUAAGGGAAGAUGGGCAAUUAAGUUUGCUUCGCACUCCCGGGGCGUCUCGUGCUCAUUGCGAGCUGAGGCGCACCUAGAGCGUACAUGCUG